AAGCUGGUUUCCCAAACGACCGCACCUUCUAGGAUCGGUGGCGAGCAGAGCAGUACGUCAAGCGGAAAAAACAUCUGCUCUCCCGUUACACAAUUCGCAAGCCGUCUGUCGAGAAGGUGGGGAGCUACAUUGCCAAGGAAGGCUGGUUGAGCAACUGCCCCACUCCAGAGGCCAGCCUCCAGAGAAGCUGUGGAGGAAAACAAAAUUAUCCUGAGAAGUGUCAUGAACCAGAAAUGGAAUGGCGUUGUCAUCAAAAACUUCAGUAAAGAAAAUGGGUUUGGAGUGGUUGCCAACAAGAAUUUUGCCAAAGGUGACAUUAUUUGUGAUUACCAUGGCGAAGUUGUCACAGAUGCUGAAGGGGAACCAACGUAUGAAAGCCAUA